CACGUAGUUAGCCGGUGCUUAUUCUUCAGGUACCGUCAUUAGCGAAGGAUAUUAGCCUCCACCGUUUCUUCCCUGACAAAAGAGCUUUACAACCCGAAGGCCUUACUUCACUCACGCGGCAUUGCUGGAUCAGGCUUUCGCCCAUUGUCCAAAAUUCCCCACUGCUGCCUCCCGUAGGAGUCUGGACCGUGUCUCAGUUCCAGUGUGGCUGGUCGUCCUCUCAGACCAGCUACUGAUCGUGGCCUUGGUGAGCCUUUACCUCACCAACUAGCUAAGUCAGAUAUCGGCCGCUCCAGGAGCGCAAGGUCCGAAGACUCCCCUGCUUUCAUCCUUAGAUCGUAUGCGUAUUAGCGUAACUUUCGCUACGUUAUCCCCCAUCCUUGGGCACGUUCCGAUUACUAUUACUCAACCCGUUCGCCCACUCGCCCGCCUAGGUUCGCCCCGUGCCUGCCGUUCGACUUGCAUGUGUAAAGCCAUCGCCGCCAGCGUUCAAUC
rnacentral:rRNA from 1 species